rnacentral:miRNA from 1 species
AGGUGGUCACAUGAGUUGCAGU